CCGUCGUAGCUCAACCGGUUAGAGCGGAGCACUCAUAAUGCUCAGGUUGGCGGUUCGAGUCCGCCCGUCGGCAC
rnacentral:tRNA from 1 species